rnacentral:rRNA from 1 species
ACAAUGAAGAGUUUGAUCCUGGCUCAGGAUGAACGCUAGCUACAGGCUUAACACAUGCAAGUCGAGGGGCAGCAUUUUAGUUUGCUUGCAAACUGAAGAUGGCGACCGGCGCACGGGUGAGUAACACGUAUCCAACCUGCCGAUAACUCCGGGAUAGCCUUUCGAAAGAAAGAUUAAUACCGGAUAGUAUACGAAUAUCGCAUGAUAUUUUUAUUAAAGAAUUUCGGUUAUCGAUGGGGAUGCGUUCCAUUAGUUUGUUGGCGGGGUAACGGCCCACCAAGACUACGAUGGAUAGGGGUUCUGAGAGGAAGGUCCCCCACAUUGGAACUGAGACACGGUCCAAACUCCUACGGGAGGCAGCAGUGAGGAAUAUUGGUCAAUGGGCGCGAGCCUGAACCAGCCAAGUAGCGUGAAGGAUGAAGGCUCUAUGGGUCGUAAACUUCUUUUAUAUGGGAAUAAAGUUUUCCACGUGUGGAAUUUUGUAUGUACCAUAUGAAUAAGGAUCGGCUAACUCCGUGCCAGCAGCCGCGGUAAUACGGAGGAUCCGAGCGUUAUCCGGAUUUAUUGGGUUUAAAGGGAGCGUAGGUGGAUUGUUAAGUCAGUUGUGAAAGUUUGCGGCUCAACCGUAAAAUUGCAGUUGAAACUGGCAGUCUUGAGUACAGUAGAGGUGGGCGGAAUUCGUGGUGUAGCGGUGAAAUGCUUAGAUAUCACGAAGAACUCCGAUUGCGAAGGCAGCUCACUAGACUGUCACUGACACUGAUGCUCGAAAGUGUGGGUAUCAAACAGGAUUAGAUACCCUGGUAGUCCACACAGUAAACGAUGAAUACUCGCUGUUUGCGAUAUACAGUAAGCGGCCAAGCGAAAGCAUUAAGUAUUCCACCUGGGGAGUACGCCGGCAACGGUGAAACUCAAAGGAAUUGACGGGGGCCCGCACAAGCGGAGGAACAUGUGGUUUAAUUCGAUGAUACGCGAGGAACCUUACCCGGGCUUAAAUUGCAACAGAAUAUAUUGGAAACAGUAUAGCCGUAAGGCUGUUGUGAAGGUGCUGCAUGGUUGUCGUCAGCUCGUGCCGUGAGGUGUCGGCUUAAGUGCCAUAACGAGCGCAACCCUUAUCUUUAGUUACUAACAGGUUAUGCUGAGGACUCUAGAGAGACUGCCGUCGUAAGAUGUGAGGAAGGUGGGGAUGACGUCAAAUCAGCACGGCCCUUACGUCCGGGGCUACACACGUGUUACAAUGGGGGGUACAGAAGGCGGCUACCUGGUGACAGGAUGCUAAUCCCAAAAACCUCUCUCAGUUCGGAUCGAAGUCUGCAACCCGACUUCGUGAAGCUGGAUUCGCUAGUAAUCGCGCAUCAGCCAUGGCGCGGUGAAUACGUUCCCGGGCCUUGUACACACCGCCCGUCAAGCCAUGAAAGCCGGGGGUACCUGAAGUACGUAACCGCAAGGAGCGUCCUAGGGUAAAACUGGUAAUUGGGGCUAAGUCGUAACAAGGUAGCCGUACCGGAAGGUGCGGCUGGAACACCUCCUUU